GCCAGCUAAUACUAAGCGAGACUUAGUAUUAGGAUGGAUUCCAACCAGACUCUUGAGUCCUAGUCUGGACAAACAACAGCAGAAAGCCAGCCGGGUAAAAAUAAAAUAAUAAAGUUAUUUAAAUAAAUAAAAAAAUCUCAAAGCGAAACUAAUCAUUCUCUGAGUUCCAACUCGACACUCAGCACGUCCGAGUGGAGAUUUUAUGGCUCUGGACUCAAAAUAAAAAAGAAAAGAUGUGAUAUAUUUACCUGGAUACAACGAAAUCCGUCUCGUUACCGAGAAUUCCUGGGGACUUUACUCUUAAACAGGAAUCAUCCUGGAUAAAGAACGCCAGCUAUAAUCCAUUAAAUAAAAACGGAAUUCUAUUUACAAGGCCACUGUAAGACCAAUAAUCUACUAGUUGUGCUAUGUAUAGCACAUAGAAGUUGAGAGUUUAUAAGUUGAGCCAGUGGAGUAUAUAGUACCGAUCCCGUGGGAAUGUAAGCGCAUGAAGAUUGUUACGAUAAGCCAUCAGAGAGAUCAAAUGGAAGUAUAACUUGGAUACAAGUCAUGUAGCAGAGGUAUAAACGUUGGUUGCGCUCCAGGCUCUCUUCUUCUUCUUCUCCUGUACCAUACCCUCAACUGGGUAUAAUAAGUAAAGAGAACUAAACAGGCGAUCCUCCUUCGCAUCAAUCGUCUCAUCCUUUAUUUCUCUCUCAAUCUUAUAUUACCUGGGGCCUACUACUGAUGGUGAUGCUGCUGUUGCAUUAUUCGCCUUCAGCUCAUUUUUCAGUCUCUCCUUACAUUAACAACAUCAGAGUUCUUCUCUUAUACUUAUACUAUAAACUGUAGUAUAGUAUUCAGCUCGAGGCAGUUGGAUCACUGACUAGAAGCCACUUUUCAGCGUCCAAGUCUAACCAACAGCAACAGCAACAUUUUUUCCUUAAAAUAUUUUUUUAUUUUAUUUUUAUUUUGUUUUAUUUAAGUUUAUGUAUAUUUAGUCUUUACUUUUUUGCGAUCCAACGUAUCUUUUUUGCUGGCAGCCUCUUCAACCCAGAAAAAACAAAAGCUACUAAAGGAUUCGUGAUGCUGGACUAUGCUACGGCUGCAUGUUUUGUGGUGGUUUGAUGGGAAGAAACAAGAGUAAGAAGAAACUGAGGCUCUGGGGAGAAUGAGGAUGAGAAAACGAAAGGGCUUAUAGUGGUAGUAAGUUAAGGUAAGGAAGAGAAGAAGAAGAAAAUGAAGAUGAGAAGAAGAAGAAGAAGAAGAAAAAGGUUGAGGGAGGCUGACUUGAGAAGAAACACCGGCAGGUCUAUUUCAAGAUACACGGGGGGAACUCCAUGUACGAACCUCCACCACUCAGGAGGUCUCGAUUCUAGUCCGCGAACCGUCACGGACGAGACCACAAGGGUCUACCCUCACACCGGGACCUUCGACAUUCUUCAACCAUUUUUUGUUUUAUUUUUUACACCUACGAUGCAUCGCUGAGAAUAGUAUCCUAUUUAUAUAAUUAUUUAUUCAAUUAUAAUACUUUCUAUUAUUAUAUAACUUAGUAGCUAUUAUUUAGUUGUUUUUUAUACAUAUUUGUUUGUUUUUACCAACAAGAUAUUUUACUAUUAUUUAUGUGUUUAAUCAUUGACUCAAAGGGAUUUAUAAGGAAUAUGUUUAUAUUCGAAGGUCAUCUUCUUGAGUUGCUAUUUAUUUUAUUUUAUUUUAUUUCAAGAUUUAAAAAAAAACAUCCAUAGAGUCUAUGGGUCAUUAAAAUGAUCAUUCACGAGAUCGUAUUUCAACGCGCAGAUCCAGAUUUUUUUGGUCGUUUAUCAUCGGAAAGUAUAGAGAGUCGGCGUGAUUGUAUAUAGAAUUUUAAUACAGCGAACCUGUAAAUUAUCCGUUAAUUUAUUCGAUCAUUUAUAUAUAUAUAUAUUUUAAAACGUUUAAUUUUGAAAAAUGUUUUUUACUAGACAGUUUAAUAUUAAGGGCUUAUAUUAAUUUUAUACAUACUCAUAUUUAUUAUUAUUUAUACGGGAUAUUAUUUUUUUAUAAUUCCAAGAAACUAGCGAUGAUAAUUUCUGCUAACAAACCCGUCGGGUUAUAUCUCCGUACCGUCAAUACAAGCAUAACUAACUCAACUUGACAUAACUAAAAUUUAAAUAUUUUUAAAAACGUCAAAACAAAUUUAAAAACAUUUUAAAUAAUUAUUAUUUAAAUUCCAAAGACUCUUAAAUCUUUGUUUCUAUUAUGAAAAUGAAUAAUAAAAGAAUCUUGUAUUAAAAUGUCCUCGAUCCUCGCGUAAAUCUUAACGCAUAAUUUAAAAUACUUUAACACACGCAAACUUUAUGUUACCCCUUCAUUAUAUCACCUAGAGGGGCUUUAGUGACGUUAUUUUUAUUUUUAAAAUUUAUAAUUUAAAAUUUUCCGUAGCUUAUGUCAGGCAAAGUGAGAAGAAGCUUUAUCAGUGGUAGAAGAUUUAAAAAUAAAUAGUUUUAUAAAAAAAUUCUCAUUACUCUCCACGCGAUAUCCUAAGGCUAGUUUAAACUCUAAUAAAGCCACAAAGCAUACUUGUGUCUAUAUAUCUGCACACAUUUUAUUCAAAAGCUUAUUUUUAGCCAGUUAUCUCUCGUAGAUUUUUAUUCCAAACAUAAAUAAAUCAAAUCUCUCGGUGGUUCUCUUCCUCAAUAAGACAAAGCUAAUUUCAUAACUAAAAAAAAAAAAACAGAGUUAUAAUAUGUAAUAUAUAAUACGAGAAUAAAAAUAAUAAAUCUAUUACAUUACAUUCUUACUUUUUAGGAGUUUAAAAAAAAAAAAAAAAAAAAAAAAAAAAAAAAAAACAUGAAAGGUAUCUUUAGUCUUAAAUCGCAACUCAUUUCUUCUUUCGAACAAAGCAAUCCAAUCCAGCGAAUAGCCAACGUGCUUUGUACUGCACGAUUCCAACAGUACAAACAACCAACAACCAGAGAAAGAAGUUGGCGGUCAAGGUUUCUUACAUUAAAGUCAUUGACAUCGUACAGCAUUUACGCCAGGAUCUCUUUAGUCUUUAAUCUUUUGAACUAUUACACCACACCAGUCUACGUUUUUUGUUUUAGCUACGAACGCUUUUACCUCUUUGAUGAUG